rnacentral:lncRNA from 1 species
GCCGUUGUUAUUAGGAGCGGCGAGGCGGGAGGCGCGGGGCAGCGGGGCUGGGCUCCGGCCGGGAGUCAGACGAGGGAGCGCGCGCGCGCUCCCGGACAGUUCUCCGCAGCCGCUCGCCCGAGCCUUCUACUUGGCCAACACAGCUGCCUCUACCACCUCGCGUGCCCGGUUCGUGGGCUUUCAGGCUUCUGGAAUCCAUUUUGUCCGUAGAGUGGAUAGAAGCCCCUGAAUCGUAUUUCUGGAGGCAGCCCUACCCAGCCACUGCCAGGAAAUUACCAAGCAUGUCCUGAAGAUGAAGAUACUCUCAGCCUAACGUCUCCAAGCAAAUAUUGAUUCAGCAGUAUCCCCAGGCAAAGCCACACCAUAUAUCAGUGAACAGAGAAACAACUGCCCUUCUCCGGGCCCCUGUCUGAGAAGCUGGAGCAUCAGCCCUGGAGCUCUCCGGAGCAGUUUCCUUGCUCACUGUCCCCAGCUGAACACAGCCGCAUGCAGAGGUCCAAAGCACGUAAACAGGAUACCCACCCUGCAUUAUCUUAUAUUUUAAGUCAAUAUGAAGAUGGACAUUCUACCCCUGAGACCAAUUUCGAUCAAAUACUUUUGUCAAUAAAAAGAUACUAAUGUCCGA